rnacentral:rRNA from 1 species
UACGGAGGAUGCGAGCGUUAUCCGGAUUUAUUGGGUUUAAAGGGUGCGCAGGCGGUCUGUUAAGUCAGCGGUCAAAGCCCGGGGCUCAACCCCGGCCCGCCGUUGAAACUGGGGAUCUAGAGUGUGCGAGAGGUAUGCGGAAUGCGUGGUGUAGCGGUGAAAUGCGUAGAUAUCAGGAGGAACACCGGCGGCGAAGGCGGCUUACUGGACUGUAACUGACGUUGAGGCUCGAAGGCGUGGGGAGCAAACAGG